rnacentral:rRNA from 1 species
UACGUAGGGUGCAGGCGUUAAUCGGAAUUACUGGGCGUAAAGCGUGCGCAGGCGGUUGUGCAAGACAGAUGUGAAAUCCCCGGGCUCAACCUGGGAAUUGCAUUUGUGACUGCACGGCUAGAGUGUGUCAGAGGGGGGUAGAAUUCCACGUGUAGCAGUGAAAUGCGUAGAGAUGUGGAGGAACACCGAUGGCGAAGGCAGCCCCCUGGGUCAAGAUUGACGCUCAUGCACGAAAGCGUGGGGAGCAAACAGG